rnacentral:rRNA from 1 species
AUGCUGCCCCCGCCGCGAAACACUCGAACCUGCCCAUCCCACGCCGGCGACCGCACCACACUUCCGAUGCCGCCACCCGCGCCUAGUCCGGACCCGUACCGCGACUGGGCCGACCUGCCGGAGCUGCCGCUGGCGGAGGUGCUCCGCCGCCUCCUUCCCUGCAUCCGCUCGCUCUACGCCUUCGCGGGGACGUGCCGCCCCUGGCGACACCUGCUCCGCGCCUCCGCCGCCGAUCUCGUCCGCCCCCGCGUCCCGCCGCUCCUCCUCCUCUGCCCCGACUUCCGCCUGGUGCCCUUCUCCCCGCUCGUCGCCCCCCAACCCCUCUCCUACCCCAUCCCCGCCCCGGCGGACGGCGCCACGCUCCUCUCCGCCUCACGCGGCCACCUAAUCCUCCUCCGCCGGGGCUCCUUCAAUAGCCUACACCUCGUGGACGCCCUCACCGGCGCCGAGCGCCGCGCGCUCCAGCUCCCUUCCCCGCACUUCCCCUAUCACUACGCCGCGCUCACGCCCUCCCACCUCCUGCUCUUCCACUCCAUGCACGCCUUCUUCUCGCUCCCCUUCCCCGAGCAUCCAAGCCCCAACAACAACAACGCCCGCCCCGACUGGACCAAGCACGCCCUCCCCCGCGCCGCCUCCAUCGUCACGACCGUCAUCGAAUUCCGCGGGCGCGUCCUCGGUCUGACCGACCGCGCGCAGAUACUGGAGUUCCACCUUGGUGGCGCCCCUUCGAACCAGGCCGUCCGAUUGCUGCCAACCACCGGCCUCCCGGACGCCACCAGAUUCGACAGAUUGCAGUUCGGGCCGCAUUUGGUUGCUGCCGGGGAUCGACUGCUGCUGGUGCUCUUCAUGUUUGAAGCAAACUUGGGCCCCGUGGUGUUCCGUGCGCCCAGGGUGAACAAGAUCGGUGUGUACGCGCUUGAUUUGGCGCGCAUGAUGUGGGAGGAAGUGGACAACAUUGGGGCUUACACCUUGUUCGUGGACAUUGCCGGGAGGAGCACCGUGGCCUGUGUGGACGUGGGCAACUGCGGAGUGGAGGAGAACCGAGUUUAUGUUGGCGUGCCCAACUGCCGUGCCUGGAGGAGGCCACUACCACCAGGGUGGGAGGCAUCACCCAACGGUGAAGGGCUUGGAUUGAACUCGAGGGAGACGAUGGCGCGCCGACCAUUGGCAUCACCGAUAUCGGUUCAUCCACCUCUUUUCUUUUGA